rfam:Triticum aestivum genome assembly, contig: Triticum_aestivum_CS42_TGACv1_scaffold_025103_1AS
UUUCUACUCCCUCCGUCCGAAAAUACUUGUCAUCAAAAUGGAUAAAAAGAGAUGUAUCUAAAACUAAAAUACGUCUAGAUACAUUUCCUUUUAUCCAUUUUGAUGACAAGUAUUUCCGGACGGAGGGAGUAUUUU